rnacentral:tRNA from 1 species
CGCGGGGUAGAGCAGCCCGGUAGCUCGUCAGGCUCAUAACCUGGAGGUCGCAGGUUCAAAUCCUGCCCCCGCUACCA